rnacentral:tRNA from 1 species
GGGUCAGUAGCUCAGUCGGUAGAGCAGUAGCCUCUUAAGCUAUUUGUCGCGGGUUCGAGUCCCGCCUGACCCA